rnacentral:snRNA from 1 species
AAUCUCAUAUUCAUGUCAUCC